AAGUCGUAACAAGGUUUCCGUAGGUGAACCUGCGGAAGGAUCAUUACUUGAAGUUGGCUAGGUAUGAGGGUGAAGCGGUUCAAGGCGACACUGCUCUCUAGCCAAUCUCCCACCCUUUUGUUUAUAACCCUCCUGUUGCUUUGGCGGGCAUGCCCGCCAAAGGUCUCCAAACCCUUACUGAAAUGGUUAUACUUAUGGAUACCUUUUGAAUUUAAAACUUUCAACAACGGAUCUCUUGGUUCCG
rnacentral:misc_RNA from 1 species